rfam:Anaerostipes sp. CAG:276 genomic scaffold, scf36
GGCGAGUAAACUCUGUACAAUUCAGACCGAUGAAACAUUGUGCAGAGU